rnacentral:rRNA from 1 species
AUUGAACGCUGGCGGCAGGCCUAACACAUGCAAGUCGAGCGGUAACACAGAGGAGCUUGCUCCUUGGGCGACGAGCGGCGGACGGGUGAGUAAUGCCUGGGGAUCUGCCCGAUAGAGGGGGAUAACUACGGGAAACUGUAGCUAAUACCGCAUAACGUCUACGGACCAAAGUGGGGGCUCUUCGGACCUCAUGCUAUCGGAUGAACCCAGGUGGGAUUAGCUAGUUGGUGAGGUAAUGGCUCACCAAGGCGACGAUCUCUAACUGGUUUGAGAGAAUGACCAGUCACACUGGAACUGAGACACGGUCCAGACUCCUACGGGAGGCAGCAGUGGGGAAUAUUGCACAAGGGGCGCAAGCCUGAUGCAGCCAUGCCGCGUGUGUGAAGAAGGCCUUCGGGUUGUAAAGCACUUUCAGCGGGGAGGAAGGGUCACUAGUUAAUACCUAGUGGCAUUGACGUUACUCGCAGAAGAAGCACCGGCUAACUCCGUGCCAGCCGCCGCAGUAA